rnacentral:rRNA from 1 species
GACGAACGCUGGCGGCGUGCUUAACACAUGCAAGUCGAACGGAAAGGCCCUGCUUUUGUGGGGUGCUCGAGUGGCGAACGGGUGAGUAACACGUGAGUAACCUGCCCUUGACUUUGGGAUAACUUCAGGAAACUGGGGCUAAUACCGGAUAGGAGCUCCUGCUGCAUGGUGGGGGUUGGAAAGUUUCGGCGGUUGGGGAUGGACUCGCGGCUUAUCGGCUUGUUGGUGGGGUAGGUGCUUACCAAGGCUUUGAAGGGUAGCCGGCCUGGGAGGGUGACCGGCCACAUUGGGACUGAGAGACGGCCCAGACUCCUACGGGAGGCAGCAGUGGGGAAUAUUGCACAAUGGGCGGAAGCCUGAUGCAGCGACGCCGCGUGCGGGAUGACGGCCUUCGGGGUGUAAACCGCUGUCGCCUGUGACGAAGCGUGAGUGACGGUAAUGGGUAAAGAAGCACCGGCUAACUACGUG